rnacentral:rRNA from 1 species
ACUUAAAUUGAAGAGUUUGAUCAUGGCUCAGAUUGAACGCUGGCGGCAGGCCUAACACAUGCAAGUCGAGCGGUAGCACAGAGAGCUUGCUCUCGGGUGACGAGCGGCGGACGGGUGAGUAAUGUCUGGGAAACUGCCUGAUGGAGGGGGAUAACUACUGGAAACGGUAGCUAAUACCGCAUAACGUCGCAAGACCAAAGUGGGGGACCUUCGGGCCUCAUGCCAUCAGAUGUGCCCAGAUGGGAUUAGCUAGUAGGUGGGGUAACGGCUCACCUAGGCGACGAUCCCUAGCUGGUCUGAGAGGAUGACCAGCCACACUGGAACUGAGACACGGUCCAGACUCCUACGGGAGGCAGCAGUGGGGAAUAUUGCACAAUGGGCGCAAGCCUGAUGCAGCCAUGCCGCGUGUGUG